GCCCUCGUCGCAUAAUGGUAUUGCAUCCGCCUCGAAAGCGGAGUCCUCUGGACAACCAGGUUCGAUUCCUGGCGAGGGCG
rnacentral:tRNA from 1 species